rnacentral:rRNA from 1 species
UUGGCUCAGGAUGAACGCUGGCGGCACGCUUAACACAUGCAAGUCGAACGGAGAAUUUUUGGUUUACUGAGAAUUCUUAGUGGCGGACGGGUGAGUAACACGUGAGCAACCUGCCUCUGAGAGAGGGAUAGCUUCUGGAAACGGAUGGUAAUACCUCAUAACAUAACGAAGCCGCAUGACUUUGUUAUCAAAGAUUUAUCACUCAGAGAUGGGCUCGCGUCUGAUUAGAUAGUUGGUGAGGUAACGGCUCACCAAGUCGACGAUCAGUAGCCGGACUGAGAGGUUGAACGGCCACAUUGGGACUGAGACACGGCCCAGACUCCUACGGGAGGCAGCAGUGGGGAAUA